rnacentral:rRNA from 1 species
AGGGAAUAUUGGUCAAUGGACGCAAGUCUGAACCAGCCAUGCCGCGUGCAGGAUGAAUGCCCUAUGGGUUGUAAACUGCUUUUAUAUAGGAAGAAACCUUCAUACGUGUAUGAAGCUGACGGUACUAUACGAA